GUCCUGCCCCAGGUCAGUUACCCUGGGCCUCAGCGGUCCCACCCUGGCUUCACCCUGGAAGCCUGGGAGUUGGCCUUUCUCGCCCUUUCAGAGUGAUUCUCGCCUGCGUCUUGUUAAAGGCCUAUGAGCUGCAUCCCUCAGAUGCUCUGGGACUGCACCCACCACAUCCAGAAGGUUUUUCCCGAGUGCUAACCUCCUCACACCCCUAAUCCAGGGUCAAGGGCAGGACCAGCACUUGGGAGCACAGCUGCUGGCACUGAGUGGGGACACCUGACGGGCACCAGCUGUCCCCUCUGCAGCCGGCAUGCCCAGCUGGGCAGACUGAUGGGACAGAAGGCUUCAGCCGUGUUUCUCCCUCCACUCCUGCUGGUACCGACUCUGUCAGUGUCACAAGCUCCCGGGUACUGCAGCACAUGACCUACACAGCCUUUGUGCCAGCAGUUUUCAAAUCGUGCGUCAGAGCCUAUGCAAUGUGUGGCAGGAGAAACAGAGCCCUUCUCUACCAGAAUUCAUCUGACAACUUUUUUCAGUGCUCCAGUUGUAAGUCCGUCCGUGGGAGGAUGUUUCCACACCUGCUCCAGCUUCUAGACACUUCCGGGACUCGGUGGUCUACACCUGCUCACUCACCUGCAAAACAGAUCAUCCUACCCUGGUUCCACGAGCCGAGAAUUUCCUGCCAGUGCGAAUCUCCACCUCCCCGGGGUCGGGGUCAGGACCUCUAGGGAUGUGGGACUUGCCUGAGAGGUGAGACGUCCUCCUGUCUCUUCAGCACGUGAGGGGCCCACAGGUUCUGGGCAUGGGACAUGGACAUGUCAGUGUGGGCCACGACUCAUCCCACGCGGUAUUUUCCAGUUUCUCACGUGUGGACCUGAAGCUCCUCCUCAGGACCCCAAAGUCCUUCGUCAUCUGGCCCAGCGACCUUUCCGGUCCCUCCCAGGGACUAUCCUCUUCCCCCUGGACCCUCCUUCUGAGCUCUGGGAUCUCAUCCCUCCU
rnacentral:lncRNA from 1 species